UAGGCCAUACGUCCGAGGCCCGACGAUUCACAGCUCUGCGAUCUUCCUCCGCCCCUCAUCUGCGCAGAAGCCGCCAUCCUCCGCUCCCUCCUCCAUCUCCUCCGGGCGGCGUCCGCGGGGGACGAUUACCUCGGUCUGCUCCUCGAGAUCCACUGGCCGCCUUCCGUGAGGGAGAUGACCCAUCGGCCGUCUACGCCGCUGCCGCGUCGUGGCCGCAGCACGGGAGGACUACGGAUGGCUGCGCGUCUCCAAGCGGGCGCCGUCGCCAUAACGAACAUGACGGGCCACCGCAGCUGCGUGGAGGCGGCGCAAUGGCUGCGGUAGAUGGAGCCCGCGGCUUGGGAGUCGUCCCUGCCGGAGUGGCCAUCGGAGGAGGAGUUCUGCGCGGCACUGCGCAACGGUCUCGUCCUCUGCAAAGUGCUCAACCGCGUCAAUCCCGGCGCCGUCCCCAAAGUUAUGGAGAAUCCAGUCAUCACGGUUCAGACAUUUGAGGACAUGAGGAACUUCCUUGUUGCAGUUAGCGCCAUGAACCUGUUGACAUUCGAAACUUCUGAUAUAGAGACGGGAGGUUCGUCUAUGAAAGUUGUCGACUGCAUACUCUGCCUCAAGGGAUACCACGAGUGGAAACUCUCAGAUGGCAUUGGUAUAUGGUGGUGUGGUGGCAUCGUGAAAAUUGCAUCCACAAGCAAAAGACCUGUUUCACAUUUAACCAGAGAUGGAGGCUCAGAUCAACAAAUGCUGGAAUUCGUGCAUCUUCUCUCUGAGGUCUGCCUUGAGGAAUCCAGAGUUGAAGAAGCUCAGCAUUCUCUUUUUCACCGCUUUGUUCUUUGAGUUGUGAGGGCAUUCCUUCUGGAAUGGGGUGAAGCUGACGUUGCCUCUAGAUGAUAUGGUAGGUCAUCAAAACAAUACUCGAGCAAGCUUGUACAGAAUUUACCAUUAUAUAUGCUUGCCUUCGCUAGAAAUCAGGAAAAUAAUACACAUUUUUAGGAUAAAGGGCCAGCAGAAGGAUGAUGCAGCAACUGCAAAUGGAAUGCCUGCUGCUUAGAAGCAGAGUUCAGAAAGUUACAAUAAUCGGCCAAUUACAUCAUCCUACCAUUCAACUGAGGUAGAAUUUUCUGGAGUUCCUAUUGCUCAAGUGCAACCCAGUGCCAUUCAUCAUGGAGAAGCAUAAGAUUGCCAUAUCCAAGUGGUCAGGAGCAAUAACUUGAGUUGCCAAGGUUAGGAAGGGAUUCUUGAAUGACAACAAGUAUCAGAAGCUUGCAAUGUAGCACUGGUUCAAAACUGAUGAGCACCACUUAAGAUAAAUUUCAGAUGUUGAGGCUUUACUGAAUUUCGAUGAGGCAAGGAUAAUGUUUGAUUCUACCACUUCAAAAGAUAUUAUCAGAGCCAUAGCAGGAGUCCGCAGAAGAGGAAGACCCGAAGAACUAGGGUAUCUUAUGAGUCUCAUAAUACCCUAGGAAUAAAACUUAGAUGUUUAUCUUUCACCUGAACUGAUUCAUAUUUUAAAUUCUUAGAACCACGCUAACCUACACUAUUAAGUUUGUUUCAAACUAUGGUUGUAAUAAGUUGUACCUUCAGCAUGUAUAUAAAAAUGUAAUAUUU